GGGGCUGUAGCUCAGUGGCAGAGCGCUCACCUAGCAUGUGUGAGGCAAUGGGUUCAAUCCUCAGCACCG
rnacentral:tRNA from 1 species